rnacentral:rRNA from 1 species
AUUGAACGCUGGCGGAAUGCUUUACACAUGCAAGUCGAACGGCAGCACGGGGCAACCUGGUGGCGAGUGGCGAACGGGUGAGUAAUACAUCGGAACGUGCCCAAUCGUGGGGGAUAACGUAGCGAAAGUGACGCUAAUACCGCAUACGAUCUACGGAUGAAAGCGGGGGAUCGCAAGACCACGAGCGAAGGGGAGGGACGGUGUCAGAUUAGGUAGUUGGUGGGGUAAAGGCUCACCAAGCCAACGAUCUGUAGCUGGUCUGAGAGGACGACCAGCCACACGGGGACUGAGACACGGCCCAGACUCCUACGGGAGGCAGCAGUGGGGAAUUUUGGACAAUGGGCGCAAGCCUGAUCCAGCCAUUCCGCGUGCAGGAUGAAGGCCUUCGGGUUGUAAACUGCUUUUGUACGGAACGAAACGGUUCUCUCUAAUACAGGGGGCUAAUGACGGUACCGUAAGAAUAAGCACCGGCUAACUACGUGCCAGCAGCCGCUGUAACAC